UGAGGAAUAUUGCGCAAUGGGCGAAAGCCUGACGCAGCGACGCCGCGUGGGGGAUGAAGCCCUUCGGGGUGUAAACCCCUGUUGCGAGGGAGGAAUAAGGCCUGGAGGAAAUGCCAGGCCGAUGACUGUACCUCGCGAGGAAGCCCCGGCUAACUACGUGCCAGCAGCCGCGGUAAUACGUAGGGGGCGAGCGUUACCCGGAUUCACUGGGCGUAAAGCGGGUGUAGGCGGCUCGGUAAGUCGGGUGUGAAAUCCCACAGCUCAACUGUGGAAUUGCGCCCGAAACUGCUGAGCUUGGGGCCGGUAGAGGGAGACGGAACUGCCGGUGUAGGGGUGAAAUCCGUAGAUAUCGGCAGGAACGCCGGUGGGGAAGCCGGUCUCCUGGGCCGCGCCCGACGCUGAGACCCGAAAGCUAGGGGAGCAAACC
rnacentral:rRNA from 1 species